rnacentral:lncRNA from 1 species
AUGGAUUUGUUGGCAUCAUUGAUAGAGAACAAACCAGUGGUGAUCUUCAGCAAAAGCACUUGUUGCAUGAGUCACACAGUGAAAGCACUUAUAAGCAGUUUUAAAGCCAACCCUAUAGUUAUUGAGAUUGAUAAAAUGGCAAAUGGACAUCAAAUAGAGAGAGCACUGAUUCAGCUUGGCUGUAGACCAAAUGUACCUGCAGUAUUCAUAGGACAACAAUUCAUAGGUAGUACUGAUGAAGUUAUAAGCCUCAAUGUUCAAAACAAGCUUGCUCCAUUGCUUUUGAAGGCUAGAGCUAUAUUUAUUUGGUAG